rnacentral:rRNA from 1 species
CCUACGGGGUGCUGCAGUGGGGAAUAUUGCGCAAUGGGCGAAAGCCUGACGCAGCGACGCCGCGUGAGGGAUGAAGGUCUUCGGAUCGUAAACCUCUGUCAGCAGGGAAGAACGGUCACUUUGCUAAUCAGCAGUGAAUUGACGGUACCUGCACAGGAAGCACCGGCUAACUCCGUGCCAGCAGCCGCGGUAAUACGGAGGUUGCGAGCGUUAAUCGGAAUUACUGGGCGUAAAGCGCUCGUAGGCGGUAUGUCAAGUCAAGGGUGAAAGCCCCGGGCUCAACGGGGGAACUGCCUUUGAAACUGGCAAACUGGAGUGUGGGAGAGGAUAGUGGAAUUCCAGGUGUAGGAGUGAAAUGCGUAGAUAUCUGGAGGAACAUCAGUGGCGAAGGCGACUAUCUGGCACAUAACUGACGCUGAGGAGCGAAAGCGUGGGUAGCAAACAGGAUUAGAUACCCUGGUAGUC